rnacentral:rRNA from 1 species
CCCUUAGAUGUUCUGGGCGGCCCGCGCACUACAAUGGCGUGUGCAGCGAGUGCCGAAGUAGAGUUUUCCGAGGUAUUCUUGCAAUGCUCGUUUUGAUGGGGAUAGACCCUUGCAACUGUUGGUUUUGAACGAGGAAUUCCUUGUAAGCAUGGUUUAUCAUCCGACGCUGAAUGUGUCCCUGCCCUUUGUACACACCGCCCGUCGCUCCUACCGAUGAGUCGUCCGGUGAAGUUCGUAGACCUCGUGAUCGCGGAUCACUGGGGGAAGCAAAAUGAACCUCGCGGUUUAGAGGAAGGAGAAGUCGUAACA